UGCCAUUAGGAGCACCGGAGGACACCGGAGGACACCGGAUGACAUCGAAGGACACAUAAUUUUUUCCAGGUGAGCCUUUCUUUUAGGUGGCUAGAAUACGUUUUGCUGCGGCUUCCUGCCCACAGCACUUUAUUGCUUUGCUCCAGUGUUGGUACUCUGGCACACUUCAAGUUUGGAGAAAUAGACAACCAUCUACUGCAGGUCACGAGCCAUUUGACAAACUGUGACAUUUUCAUGUCUUUGUGCUCGUUCAUAUCACAACUGCCUAUAAAUCCCAAACUCUGUUACCCAGCCUACUGUAAACAGGCAGCAUUGGAGGGGAAGGGAUGCUAUUGUGCCAUCUCAGCAUUUACCAAAGGACAGUGCUACCCUUAGGUCUUAUACUUUAAUGUCAUACUGUAAGUUAGUGUCUCGGGAGUAAAGAAAAAUGCUCCUGCUGUUAUCUCGAUAAAAAAAAAAAAUGAUACCAACCUUUAUCUUUUGUGUCAUGACAGUUUCUUUAUAUGACAUUUUCAAUGCCGCAAUUUCCUUAAUUGUAUUUCAUCAUUGUUCGCAUGGAUGUAACAGUGCAAAUGAAGAAGUACAGUUUCAAAAUCUCUUUGUCAUUGCUUUCUUAAAUUAACUAUUUAAACGUAUAAGACAGAUUACUGUAUCUAUUGAAGAUUGUU